GACGAACGCUGGCGGCGUGCUUAACACAUGCAAGUCGAACGGAAAGGCCCUGCUUUUGUGGGGUGCUCGAGUGGCGAACGGGUGAGUAACACGUGAGUAACCUGCCCUUGACUUUGGGAUAACUUCAGGAAACUGGGGCUAAUACCGGAUAGGAGCUCCUGCUGCAUGGUGGGGGUUGGAAAGUUUCGGCGGUUGGGGAUGGACUCGCGGCUUAUCAGCUUGUUGGUGGGGUAGUGGCUUACCAAGGCUUUGACGGGUAGCCGGCCUGAGAGGGUGACCGGCCACAUUGGGACUGAGAUACGGCCCAGACUCCUACGGGAGGCAGCAGUGGGGAAUAUUGCACAAUGGGCGGAAGCCUGAUGCAGCAACGCCGCGUGCGGGAUGACGGCCUUCGGGUUGUAAACCGCUUUCGCCUGUGACGAAGCGUGAGGGACGGGAAUGGGUAAAGAAGCACCGGCUAACUACG
rnacentral:rRNA from 1 species